UACGUAGGGUGCGAGCGUUGUCCGGAUUUAUUGGGCGUAAAGGGCUCGUAGGCGGCGUGUCGCGUCGGGAGUGAAAGACCGGGGCUUAACCCCGGUUCUGCUUCCGGUACGGGCAUGCUGGAGUGUGGCAGGGGAGACUGGAAUUCCUGGUGUAGCGGUGGAAUGCGCAGAUAUCAGGAGGAACACCGGUGGCGAAGGCGGGUCUCUGGGCCAUUACUGACGAUGAGGCGCGAAAGCUAGGGGAGCAAACAGG
rnacentral:rRNA from 1 species